GUUUGGAAGGACUGACAUCUAUCAGAGUCCAAGGUUGGAGUUGGGGUGACCUCUGUCCCUGCUGAUGUGCUCAGAGUCAUACCUGGCAGCAUCAUUAGUGCCCACAUAGAUGAGCCAUAUGGGGUAGUGGUCAGAGGAAUGGAUGAGUCUCAGCAACUUUUCCUUAAUAUCUUGGACAUGGGCUCCAGAUCAGGCUCGACUGAAUGCAGCAUCUGAGAAACCAGGUGAAAAUGGCUUCCACUGCAUUGGGCCAACCAUCCUGAACAAAUGGACCAACUGGGGUACAGGGAGAAAAAACAAAACAUGCAACUGUCAUCUGAUGACUUGCCCCAUGUGAAGAAUCAGGUUAAAACGGAGAACACACCAUAAACAGUUGCCUAAUAAAAUUUGAGUAACCGGACACAGCAAUUAAAAUUAGAG